UACGUAGGGUGCAAGCGUUGUCCGGAAUUAUUGGGCGUAAAGAGCUUGUAGGCGGUUUGUCGCGUCUGCUGUGAAAUUUCGGGGCUCAACCCCGAACUUGCAGUGGGUACGGGCAGACUAGAGUGUGGUAGGGGAGACUGGAAUUCCUGGUGUAGCGGUGAAAUGCGCAGAUAUCAGGAGGAACACCGAUGGCGAAGGCAGGUCUCUGGGCCAUAACUGACGCUGAGAAGCGAAAGCGUGGGGAUCAAACAGG
rnacentral:rRNA from 1 species